rnacentral:tRNA from 1 species
GCUGAAGUAGCUCAGCUGGUAGAGCAACUGAUUCGUAAUCAGUAGGUCGGGGGUUCGAUCCCUCUUCCCAGCA